GCCGGUGUGGCCCAGUGGUUAGAGCGUCGGCCUGUACACCAGAGGUCGCAGGUUCGAUUCCUGGUCAAGGGCA
rfam:Myotis lucifugus cont2.44072, whole genome shotgun sequence.